rnacentral:tRNA from 1 species
GGACGGUUAGCUCAGUUGGUUUAGAGCGCUGCUUUCACACGGCAGAGGUCACUGGUUCAAAUCCAGUACCGUCCACUA